GCCCAAUGAUGAGACCAAGGCGAAUACGAGCUAACUGAAUGAGAGUUGGGUUCUUCUUGCCUUGACUGGCAGGUAAUCUUGGCAGUGCAGAGGAGGAUUCCUGCUCUGCUGUAAGGGCCUGCCUACAGUGACUUGGCUCAACCCAAAUUAUUCCUCUACAGUCACAGCGGUGUAAUUGCUGGUAUGAAGCUGACAGUGUGUCCUGUCUGUGUCUCUUUAUGUGCAUGUUUAAGGGGCAAGGAGUUGACCCAGCUCUUUUUGCUGUUCUGUUAGCAAUGAGUUAUUUCUUUGGUAAUCUGAGGGCA